rnacentral:rRNA from 1 species
GACUGAUCAUAAGCUCCAGAUUGAGACGCUGGCAGGAUGUCUUUACACAUGCAAGUCGAACGGCAGCACGGACUUCGGUCUGGUGGCGGUGGCAGGCUGGUGGGUAAUGUAUCGGAACGUGCCUGAAAUGGCAGGGGAUAACAACUACGCGGCGGCUAUGCCGCCGCCUGAAGAAAGCAGGGGACCUUCGGGCCUCGCACUAUUACGACGGCCGAUAUCGGAUUAGCUAGUUAGUGGGGUAACGGCUCACCAAGGCGACGAUCCGUAGCCUGGUUUGAAGGACGACCAGCCACUGGGACUGGAGGUACAAUGGCCCGAACUCCUGCGGGGAGGCAACAGUGGGGAAUUUUGGACAAUGGGGAAACCUGAUCCAGCCAUCCCGCGUGUGCGAUGAAGGCCUUCGGGUUCGCUUUUGGCGGGAAAGAAACGGCGGGGAUGACCCAUUACAACCGAUAUUACCCUGCAGAAUAGCACCGGCUAACUACGUGCUGACAGCCGCGCGGUAGCCGUAAGAGGUGCAAGCGUUAAAUAUCGGGAAUUACUGGGCGUAAGCGUGCGCGAACGGUUCGGAAGAAAAGAUGUGAAAUCCCAGAGCUUAACUGCAGAGACAUUUUUAACUGCAAAUAGAGUGUGUCAGAGUGGAAUUCCCGCAAUGUAGCAGUGAAAUGCGUAGAUAUGCGGAGGAGCACACCGAUGGCGAAGCGGCCUGCGGAAUCAGCACUGAGCUUUCAACCGCACAGAAAGCGUGGGGAGCAAACAGGAUUAGAUACCACGGUGAUCCGCCUAGACGAUAUCAACCAGCUGUUGGGGCCUUCGGGCCUUGACAACGCAACAACGUGGGGUCGGCCGCCUGGGAAGUGCAGUGCAAGAUUAAAACUCACGAAGAGAACGGCGGGGACCCGCACAAGCGUGAACGGAUGAUAAUGGAUUAAUUCGAUGGCGCAAAAACCACCACUGAGCAUGUCUGGAAUCCCGAAGGUUUGGAGUGCUCGCAAAGAACCGGAACACAGGUGCUGCAUGGCUGUGAUCAGCUCGUGUCGUGAGAUGUUGGAUUCGUCCCACCGCUGCUUUAACCCACAUGCAUUAGUUGCUGCGAAGGGCACUCAAGCGGAACGCGGUGACGGCCGGAGGAAGGUGGGGAUGACGUCGUUCCUCGCUGUCGGCACUUAUGGGUAGGGCUUCACGUCAUACAAUGGUCGGGACGGAGGGUCGCCAACCCGCGAGGGGAGCGUCUGAAACUUCGAUCGUAGUCCGGAUCACAGUCUGCGCUCGACUGCGUGAAGUCAGGGUAAUCCGCUAGUAAUCGCGGAUCAUGUCGCAGUCGAUACGUUUGGUUCACGCUGCACACCGCCCGUCACACCAUGGGAGUGGGUUUUACCAAAGUAGUUAGCCUAACCGUAAGGAGGGCGAUUACCACAUUAGAGGAUUCAUGACUGGGGUGAAGUCAUAUAGAGUGGC